rnacentral:rRNA from 1 species
GCCCAUACCAUGCUGAAUAUACCGGUUCUCGUUAAAUCACCGAAGUCAAGCAUCAUUGGGCGCGGUCAGUACUUGGGUGGGUGACCACCUGGGAACACCGCGUGCCGUU